CAAUAGCGUAUAUUAAAGUUGUUGCGGUUAAAAAGCUCGUAGUUGGAGUUCUGCCAGGUGCCGCCUGUCCGCCCCAGUGGUGAGUACGUGGCGCGCAUUUGGCCCUUUCAAGGGGAGCGUAUCUGCACUUUAUUGUGUGGUGCGGGAUCCUUGGCUUUUACUUUGAGGAAAUAGGAGUGUUCCAAGCAGGCUCUCGUCGUGCACAGCUCAGCAUGGAAUAAUAGCAUUGGACCUCGAUUCUAAGCUGUUGGUUGCCAGAAGCGAGGUAAUGAUGAAGAGGGAUAGUUGGGGGCAUUCGUAUUUAACUGUCAGAGGUGAAAUUCUUGGAUUUGUUAAAGACGGACUACCGCGAAAGCAUCUGCCAUGGAUGUUUUCAUUGA
rnacentral:rRNA from 1 species